AGGUGAGUUCAUGUUCAGCAUGCCACCAAACAAAUUUCACUGUAACAAGAGAAUACUGUGGGUCUUAUGAAAACUACAAUCACCUUUUUUAAAAGGCCAUCCUAAAUUAUCCAGUACAGCCAUGAAAUGCAGAAGCCCUGGAAACAGUCGACACCUUGAUGAAGAGCUGCUUGAAAGAAAAUUCUAGAGGAUCUAGCUGCACUUAUGGAAGCGUUGCAAGCACACAGGACUGUCCUCAACUUGUCAAAUAACAAUGCCCAACAUGUGCAACAUCAGGGCACUAGGGGAAGUGCCAUCAAUGCACCCACAGGAAAAAGGACCAGCCUUGUGGAAGACCAGCGACUGUCACAGCAGGUCUUCUAUAUUCUUGUCCACAGACACUGACUUCCCUUGCCAUCCUCAGGUGCUUUCAGCAGCUCUUCUGAUGCCCCCCUGAGUAGAGUCUGCCUUUCUCUGGACAGUAUCCUUGCCAUGAAGUCAUCCCUCAUGGACUUCCCAAGGAAUGUGUUUGCCAUCAAUAACUGCAUCCUGCACAUACUUGUGAACAGUACACAAACCUGUCCAGAAUCCACUGCCUGAGCAGGGUUCUUUGAAUGGGAACUUGGAAUACUGUAUUCCCCAGCUGUGAGUUGCUAUGCAGAUGAAAACUGCCAGCACUGAAAAAGACAUCAUUCCAUUUCCUCCAGAUAUAUUCCCAGGAGUGGAUUGCUGGACUCUACAGUAGGUUUUUAAGGAACUCCUAUACUUUUUUUUUUUUUUCCAGUUGCUGUGCCAGUUUACAUUUCCACUGACAGUAUGCAAGGCUCUUACAUCUCCACACCCACAGCACCAUUAAAAAAUGGACUGGGUCUUUGGAUCCCAACCAUUCCACACAGAAUUCCCUCAUCUCAGCAGGAGGCCAGGCAGUCCUUUGCCAGUAUGUGGCAGGCACCAUCAGAGACAGUUCCCUUUGGUCUCUGUAAAGGCAACUUAAACAUAUUGGCUUAAAUGGGAUGAUUUCUCAUCUGCAGAUACAAGGAACACAUGGAGUUUCAAGUAGAAACAUGGUGGUUGAUAAAACACGGUAGAAAUUCAAUAUUAAAAUCGAUUACAAAGAGUGUCAGUAAUAUAGCCUAUUGACAUGGGAGUUCAUCAUACAGAAAGGAAAACUGAUUCCAUGUCAUCAGCGAGUAGUUAUGGGGAACUGGUGCACAUCCCACAGUCCCACCCUAGUUAUCAUUUUAACUAGUGGCUUAACAGAUGAGGAAGGCAGGAUGGAGAUGGGUGUGAGGAACAGAGCAAGGCAGUUAGGACUGAUGAUGACACUGUAUGCUGGGAGCUUGUGUUGAAUCCCAAGCCUCUUUUCCAGUCCAAAGCCAUUCUGAGAAUGAGCAGGUGAUAACCUCCUUUGUUAGCUUAGUGCGAAGAACUAUGGAUUGCUGCCAUGGCCACGGAUUGGAACUGGAACUCUGGAGAGCAAUUUCCCCACCAGCAUAAUUUCUGUUUCAAUCCCGGUAUUCCUUCAUUAACAGUUACUUCAUAAAUGAAUAAACAGUCAUUCCUCUCAUAUCUAAUUCUAAAUAUGUGUGCUGUAUUUUAGGAAGUGGAGAAAGUGGUAUAUUUGGCAUGUGCAUUUUAAACUUAAACGAUACAGUCAUUUAACUGGAAACCACACGUCCAAAAGCAAAAUUGGCAACAGAUUGGAAGUACAGCAUUGAUUCAAUGAUAAUUUUUUAAAGAAUUUUCUGCGUGCCUUGAGUAUCAAAGAUUUAGCUAUGUGCAACUGCACUCAAGUGUACUGUAGAAUGGUUGGUAUAUGAAUGAUUGCAUAUUUACA